CAGUCGCCGCGGGAAAACGUAGGGUGCGAGCGUUAAUCGGAAUUACUGGGCGUAAAGCGUGCGCAGGCGGUUGUGUAAGUUAGAGGUGAAAGCCUGGUGCUCAACACCAGAACUGCCUUUAAGACUGCAUCGCUUGAAUCAUGGAGAGGCGGGUGGAAUUCCGAGUGUAGAGGUGAAAUUCGUAGAUAUUCGGAAGAACACCAGUGGCGAAGGCGGCCCGCUGGACAUGUAUUGACGCUGAGGUGCGAAAGCGUGGGGAGCAGACAGGAUUAGAUACCCCAGUAGUCCCUGUCUCUUAUAU
rnacentral:rRNA from 1 species